CUCUCUAUCUCUCUCUCAUCUCUCUUUCACAGAUACAUCUCUCUCCCUCUAUGUUCUUCACGGAUUCACAGUCAUCUCUCUUCUUCUUCUGAUCCUCUUAGGGUUUAUAUCCAACGCUGCCCAAUCACUCUGAUUCGAUUUCCAAUCGAGUCACAGCAAGUGCAUAGCCAAAGACAUCAAGACCAAUUCCAUGUAUGUUGCCAAGUACACCAUAGUCAACCCCAACGAUCCCCAUCCCUUCCCCAAAUCUCACAAAAUCAUCGU
rnacentral:misc_RNA from 1 species